ACUAUAUUAAAAUUGCUGUAAUCCAAUGUGCUUCAUGCACUAUCUGGCAUCCAAAGGAUCCUCUUUCGCCCAUGUUGGGGUUUUCGAAACUGGAAAGAAGACUGAUUUCUGCAGAGCAGCUUUCUAGAUGCAGCCCUGUUCACAUGUGACUGGUAUUUACGUUCUUUCAUCAAACAUGUCUUUAGAAUCGACUCAAGGCAAGAUGCAGUAGAGAAAUGUAAGAAUCAACUAGGGGAACCGUUUAACUACUAGGUGCAUCUUCUCCAGCAAGUUCUUCAGAAUCCUUUCCAGAAGCAUUCGACAGUCAAGAAAGAAGGCUACGCCUCACCUACUCCUUCCUGGGCUGAAGAUCUCAGACUUAGUUGCUUAAUUUGGGAAAAAUAAAUUAAAAGUAAAUUAAAGAAUUCUUCUAUCAUUAUAC